rnacentral:lncRNA from 1 species
AAAAAUUCUACGUCAACAACAUUGAGUUUGACUACGGCUCGAACUUGACCUUGACUCAGACUAGCUCGCAUAGGCUGACGUCCACGUCAUCCCGCAAGUUGAUUUCAACUCAAAGUUGAUUCUCGCAUGGACUCCGCAACGCAGCCGCGGUUCACCAAGGAUUCCUUACUCGAGUCCAAUCCGGACUAGAGACAGCUAACGACUGUGACUACAACUCGGACUCCAUCCAAGAGAUUCCUUUUUCAGGCUCAGCUCAAGGCUUGG